GAUGAACGCUGGCGGCGUGCCUAAUACAUGCAAGUCGAGCGAACAGAUGAGGAGCUUGCUCCUCUGACGUUAACGGCGGACGGGUUAGUAACACGUGGAUAACCUACCUAUAAGACUGGGAUAACUUCGGGAAACCGGAGCUAAUACCGGAUAAUAUAUUUAACCGCAUGGUUCAAUAGUGAAAGACGGUUUUGCUGUCACUUAUAGAUGGAUCCGCUCCGCAUUAGCUAGUUGGUAAGGUAACGGCUUACCAAGGCAACGAUGCGUAGCCGACCUGAGAGGGUGAUCGGCCACACUGGAACUGAGACACGGUCCAGACUCCUACGGGAGGCAGCAGUAGGGAAUCUUCCGCAAUGGGCGAAAGCUUGACGGAGCAACGCCGCGUGAGUGAUGAAGGUCUUCGGAUCGUAAAACUCUGUUAUUAGGGAAGAACAAAUGUGUAAGUAACUAUGCACGUCUUGACGGUACCUAAUCAGAAAGCCACGGCUAACUACGUG
rnacentral:rRNA from 1 species